AUCGAACGCUGGCGGCAUGCUUUACACAUGCAAGUCGAACGGUAACAGGCCUUCGGGUGCUGACGAGUGGCGAACGGGUGAGUAAUGCAUCGGAACGUGCCCAGAGGUGGGGGAUAACGCAGCGAAAGCUGUGCUAAUACCGCAUGUGAUCUGAGGAUGAAAGCGGGGGACCAAGCAGCAAUGUUUGGCCUCGCGCCUCUGGAGCGGCCGAUGUCAGAUUAGGUAGUUGGUGGGGUAAAGGCCUACCAAGCCGACGAUCUGUAGCUGGUCUGAGAGGACGACCAGCCACACUGGGACUGAGACACGGCCCAGACUCCUACGGGAGGCAGCAGUGGGGAAUUUUGGACAAUGGGCGCAAGCCUGAUCCAGCAAUGCCGCGUGCGGGAAGAAGGCCUUCGGGUUGUAAACCGCUUUUGUACGGAACGAAAAGGCUCUGGCUAAUACCUGGGGCUGAUGACGGUACCGUAAGAAUAAGCACCGGCUAACUACGUG
rnacentral:rRNA from 1 species